GUAAGCAUAUACAUUUAAAUGGGUGGUUGUUCUUCACUUUCUAGAAAGAAAUCCUCAGAAUUUAUUGCUGCUGCUGCUGCUAAAUUUAUUCCUGAAAAUCUGUUGAAAGGAUGUGUGGAAGGAAUCUUAUUUAUUGAGUGGGCAGUACGAAAAGGGAUUGAUCAAAUGCCUGCUGCAGUCAUUGGGAAUCUUCUGCCAGUUCUGAUGGACUUUGGAACAGGCUUGAAACUAUUUACAGCUUUUCAGUCAUGCUUAUUUACAAUGCAGGGUGCUUAUAGUUAAUUGUAUGGUUUUCAAGCCUUUUGGAUUGCUGACUGAGGAUAUUGCCUAUAAACAUGACUUAAUAACAAAGCGUAAGAAGGGUGGAAGCUACUUGCUCUGAAAGACCUACCUCUGGCAAUAUUUGAAAGAACAGAUGCUCUCCUAUUGAAAACAUGAAUUUCUAUGCUGUGCUUUGUCUGCUUCAACAACUUCUUAUUGGUGAACCCAUGAAAAAUGAAUCUAUGUCAUGGAUCAUCUACCAUUUGCAUUUCAGAAUAUGGCUUAGAUCUGAUGAAAUGGAUUCCUCACUUAUUGUGGUGGCUGUACCUGGCUAUACUCUAUCUCCUUGCUUGCUUGUAGUGUGUGGGAAUGCUAGAUUUGCUCUGAACUCCCCCUUUUUCAUACACCUAUAAGUUACACAUGUGACUUCAGGAAGUUCUACAUGAAAUUCUUCCAUGCGUGACAGAAAUGAUAAAGCUUCCUUAUCUCAUUGUGGUAUUUUGUAGAUAAACUUGUAUGUGGCUCGAUGGUGCUACCAUCAAAUGCUGCUGUCAUUAAAGUAAUCUGGAAAUGCUCAUUCAUGGUUCAACUCUCUCAUGUUUCUCUGUAUGAAAGCCUUUUGAUGAAAGCAUUCAGAAAGCAAUCCUUGUAAAUAUCCACUUGAAUGUCUGGGUUAAA